CCGAAUACCAGUAAAAAAUUAGCGACCGUUUUUGAAACUGCUGCGAAAUUGGCAAAAUCACAGCGGUUCUGGGCUACAAGUUGGCCUCUACUACAAAAUUGAUCAAGAUAGCGCCGGUUUAGAUGUGAACCGCUGCAAAUUAAUUUGUUGGACAUAUAUUCAAGAUGCUCAUCUUUAAUUUGCGAAUUCCCAUCUUCUCUUUUUCACGCGAACACAAAUGGGUGUAGAGGCGCGAAUCACACCCCUGCGAAUCCUUGCCGCCGUGUAGCUCCCUCCGUCAGUUUCAAUUGCUACAUCCUUUUCCUUGCUGAACAUAGGACAAAAGGAGUGAAACAAAAUCCAGUCCAUCAUAAAGAUGCACCGAUAUUGCUAUGAAGACUUGCUGUUGCAGCGCAUCCAGUUGUGGGUCGUUCUUAUUUGGAUUACCGUAAGUUAUAGAAUUAGAAAAAGAAACUGCCUCCAUCAAGACGGCGUGACCUCCAUUCUCUCCACUAAUUUGAGAAUCUCGCUGCCUCAGCCCUGCAAGAUCACUGACUGCCGUCUGCCUCUCUUCCCACCGCUUGUCGUUCGAACUGCGUCCAGGUGGUUUGCGGGGUCUUCGCGCUAGUGCAGCAAACCAGACCUGCAACAAGGAGUAUUUGCAGCCGGAAGACCUUCUUCCCAAUGGCCACAUCUCAAGACGAAUGCGUUUCAUGCGAGGGUCAUCCUUCAUGCACACCACCGGACAAAGAUACAUUAAUGGAGUGCGAUAUCGUUGAACCCCUAGGCUGUGAUAUGUCUGCCGUUGCAGUGGUUUCAUCAGACCAACCUCAAAACAUAUCCGGCGAUGUCAUCGUCGACGUUGAGAAGUCGAACAAGGCCAUGCAGCUGUCGGAUGUUACCGAGGUUGGAAGUGAAGAGAUGGAGCUUGGUGAUGAGUUACCAGACCAUGGUUGCCUACAAGAAGACAAGAUACCAAGAGUUGGAAUGCGGUUUGCUCAGUUACAGAUGGCUCAUGACUUUUAUGUUACCUAUGCAAAGAAAGUUGGAUUUGCAACUAAGAUAAGGACGACAACAUAUGACAAGAUCACAAAGGCUCCCGUUAACCAAGCUAUACACUGUAAUCGCGAUGGGUACCGCGAGUCUCAUGUUAAAGCACCAACGCGGAAGAAUAUGAUUUCAGCUGCUGGGUGCAAGGCAAGGAUAUAUGUCAAGUUUGAUAAAGACAUGCAAGACUGGGUUUUGUUCAAGGUUGACUUGACACACUCACAUCCCUGUUCAGUGAGAAAGGCAGUGCACUACCAUGAGUAUAGGCAGCUGACCAUGCAUGCGAAGUGCGUGAUCGAGGAUAAUGAUGAGGCUGUGAUUCGACCAAAUAAGACAUUCCUUGCUUUGUCAAAUGAGGCUGGAGGCCCCUCUAACUUAGGAUUCUCAGAGAAGGAUUUAAGAAACUAUAUAGCAGCAAGGCUCCGAACUAGCAAUGUGAAUGCGGAUGUCAGGGAGAUGAUGAGCUACUUCAUGAGAAUGAAGGACAUCAAUCCGAACUUCUUUUACGCGGUGAAGUUGGACGAGGAGUGUAAAUUUAAGAGUGCAGUAUGGGUGGAUGCAAGAUGUAGGGCAUCGUAUGAAUACCACAGAGAUGUUGUGUCAGUUGAUAGCACCUACAGUACAAACAGGCAUGGAUUACCGUUUGUGUCGUUCGUUAGGGUCAACUACCAUGGUAAGUCAACCCUCCUCGGUUGUGCUUUGCUGGGGAAUAAGGAAAUCACAAGUUAUGAGUGGGUUUUCAGCCAAUGGGUGAAGUGCAUGGGAUCUGCUCCACAGCGUAUCAUAACCGAUCAAUGUCGGUCCAUUUUCUAUGUGAUCAGGAAUACAUUACCCGACACACGCCACCGAUGGUGCAUCUGGCAUAUUACGAAGAAGUUACCGAGCAAGCUUGGUGGUUACCGCCGGUACAGAGCUUUGUAUGAUGACCUCAAUGACAUCGUGUGGGACUCUCGGACUGAGGAGUCAUUUGAGGAUAACUGAGCAUAAUUUAUAGAUGAGUACAAGUUACAUAACAACACAUGGCUGUUAGACCUGUAUGAUGACCGACGCAUGUGGGUUCCCAUAUACUACAAGGGUGAAUUUUGGGCAGCAAUGAGGAGUACGCAAAGGAGUGAGAGCAUGCACGCAUUCUACGGUGGAUACUUACACAGUAAAACUAGCUUGGUUCAAUUUGUUCACGAAUAUGACAAUGUGCUUGGAGUCAAGGAGCAGAGGGAAUUGGAGGAUGAUGCUGCAGACUCGAGGGGGGUUAUCCCUUGUGCAAUGAGCUUGCCUAUGGAGAAACAGUUUCAGCAAGAGUAUACGACGAGCAUGUUUAGGGAUGUUCAAAUUGAGUUUGUGAAGAAGGCUGACUGCAGAGUUUCUGUAGUUGAUGAAUAGGGUCCAUUGGUCUGCGUGAAGGUGGAAGAGGAGAAACUAGUCAAUGAUACUAUUCUAUGCGUUCCGUAUGAUGUUCACUUUGAUCGUUCCACACAAGAGGUUCGUUGUGAGUGCAAUCUUUUUGAGAGUUUAGGUGUGUUGUGCUAUCACUGUCUUGAAGUUUUCCAUUCGUAUAAAGUGUACAAAGUACCUUCCUGUUAUGUUCUCCCUCGAUAGAGCAAGAAAAUAAGGCGCAAGCAUACGUAUGUCAAAAGUAGCCAUGAUGUUAGUCGGUCGGAGACGAUGACGAAGCAGCAUUGCUGCAUGUUGCUUUGGAAGAAACAAGGGCCAAGUUGGCUGCGCACUGUACCAAGAAGAGGUCCGAGAGCGUGUCAGAGACCCACACCAAUAUUGGUUCACAGUGUUCGAACGUUGUCGGUGUUGAUGACAUCCAAGGCCCAUCGAAGGUCACCACAAAGGGCAGGCCAAAGAGUAAGAGGCUUGGCACUGUCCUAGAGAAGUCCUUCAAGAAUUCAACUCGGAGAAAACACAAGAAUUCAUCCUCGGUGGUUCGUCCGCACGCAUCUCAAGAUGUAAACCAUGGUGCUGUUGUUGGCUUGAAUGUUCCCGAACAAGCCGGUGGUUUCAUGUCUUUGUUAAGCUCCUUCAACAAAAAUUAGGAUUAGUUGGACAAGGUUGUGAUAGUGUUUACUUACUCAUCUCUAUGUAUAAAGGGUUCAAGUUAGUUUUAAGGUUUUAAGGUAGCUGUUGCAAAUGUCCAUAUGUUAUUAAUUGCAAGAACCCUUUUUAUUUCGUUUAGACUUAAUGCAUUAUGAGUAUAUUUGAUGGUUAUUUUGUAAUUUACGAGAUAGUUUAAUAAAAUUGUACUUGAUUUCUAAAUGCUUUACUGUAUAGUUUUUCGGUAUGUAGCCGUUCACGGUUUUGUAAUUUACUAAAGUGAAUGUUCAUUUCUAUAAGUGAUCAGAUGUUCAUUUUCA